rnacentral:rRNA from 1 species
AACAGCUCAAAUUUGAAAUCUGGCUCUCGGGCCCGAGUUGUAAUUUGUAGAGGAUACUUUUGAUGCGGUGCCUUCCGAGUUCCCUGGAACGGGACGCCAUAGAGGGUGAGAGCCCCGUCUGGUUGGAUGCCAAAUCUCUGUAAAGUUCCUUCGACGAGUCGAGUAGUUUGGGAAUGCUGCUCUAAAUGGGAGGUAUAUGUCUUCUAAAGCUAAAUACCGGCCAGAGACCGAUAGCGCACAAGUAGAGUGAUCGAAAGAUGAAAAGCACUUUGAAAAGAGAGUUAAAAAGUACGUGAAAUUGUUGAAAGGGAAGCGUUUAUGACCAGACUUGGGCUUGGUUAAUCAUCUGGGGUUCUCCCCAGUGCACUUUUCCAGUCCAGGCCAGCAUCAGUUUUCCCCGGGGGAUAAAGACUUCGGGAAUGNGGCUCUCUUCGGGGAGUGUUAUAGCCCGUUGUGUAAUACCCUGGGGGGGACUGAGGUUCGCGCAUCUGCAAGGAUGCUGGCGUAAUGGUCAUCAACGACCCGUC